CUGUAGAAACGUCAGGUUCAACCCUACGUAAACGGGGCAGUGAACCGCGGGAACGUAAACAUAACAUAAAAAUUCAGAGCAAAUUGUCAGGAAAUGAGAGUAUUAAGUGUACAAAAGUAGUUUCAGUGAAGUAUGGUGUUAUCGAGUUCAUCCUCGUACAUCGACGGAGUUGGAUAAUUGGACACUUAUCGUGGAAACUCCGUAAAUAAGUGAGUGAAUUCAUCUAAAGCCAGAUCCAUAGAAGACCCAGUGAAGUUUCCUGUGUGUAGCUUGACCAGCUCCUGUGGGCUCUUCAUAAUGGAAACACUUUGGAACACAGAGGAUUUCCCAGAAGUGCUGCACAUUUAUGCCCACUGUUGACCUGUCACUGUUUGAUGGCAUUUGGCUUUCCUCUUGUGAUAAAGAUACAGAAAGAGGUGUGGGCUGGAAAAGCAGAGACGUAAAAGAAGAGAGGUAAUUAAUCCACCACCCACCACUGUUCCAUCUGUAAACACUGUAAAUGUGAGGGAAAUACUAAUGGCUCUUGGUCUCUGCUCCUCUGGUUAUUGCGUUUAUUUCUGUGUCGUACCAGGUUUUUGCAUUGCUUCCUCUGUUGGUGAAGUUGAAAAAAUGAAUGACACGUUGUACUUGGGGCUUAAGUCAUUUUGUUAGCACAAAUCAGUGUCAAAACAACAUGUGUGUCUGGGUUUUUUGUGCAUCAACCUGUGCUCUUCCUCGCUUGGCCAUUUAUUUAAUCAACUCGAUUUUUGUGAUGGGUUUUUCCCUGACAGAUUUUCUGUUGUCAUUUGGUUUCCUAUAAUGAUCACCUCCACUGUGUUUGUGUUAACACAUGUACAAUAUGUAUUAUCUGAGCUGUUGAUUGAUGAUGUAAGAUAAGCUGUGCUUAAAAGAAUGUGUUUUGCACAGGAUUAAUAGGAUACAUUUUAGAUUUUUAAAGGUUUGAUCAUCAUUUUGUUACAAGCAUGAUUUGUGGGAGAAAAAAUAUUUUGCCAUUUGCCAAUGGAUUUAAUCUUUUCAGAAAAAUACACCCACUUAUCAAGCACUUACUUCGGUUUAUUAGAUGUAAAGGAAAGACUGCGGAAAAUCAGUGUGUGAUGGAACAGAGGCUAUUGAGGCUAUUGGACUAUUUGGUAUUGAAGCUGAGAGCCGGGGGUCCUGCACCACUCUAGCCCCUAUAGUUGUGUGCAGACCAAUACAAAGAGAAAAAAAAUGUCAUCACAAGCAAUUUAUAUUUAUGUUAAAACAUAAAAAGCACGUGUUACUGUCAAUACAAACAUAAAAAUCUCAAGAACAAAUAUUCAGUACAGUAUCAGAUGAUUUGUCCACAAGCUAUGGCCUCAUAUUCACCUGGACCAGCACAGACAGCAGUAGAGGCACUUUUCUGUGUAACUUGCUUGGAGGUACCUUGGAAAAGUCAUAAGACUAUGAAAACCUGGGGCUUCUGAAAUUAUGGUAUGGAUGCUCUACAUACAAGUACACAAGUCUUGGGGUUUCUUUUAGGGGCAGGAAGUAUGGGCUUGACUUGAUACAGCCUGAUGUGGAACACCGUUUUCUUAACUAGCAGCAUUUUAAGUCUCUAAUUGCUCCACUGACAGCUCCUCAUGUUGUGUUUGUUAGUUUAGAAAGUCUGCAUUAUUGCCAAGGCUGAGUCACAGUAGCCAGCAAAAAUAGAGUGUUAUUAAUAGAACAUUUCAAUUGCAGCCACUCUUCGACUCCUCAUGUUUUUUUCUAUGUGCCUUAUUCAUACUGAGCCGUCAUACCAUAUAAUUAAUUGUAAGUCAUGUCAAAACAAAACUGUUGUAAAGAGGAAGGUGGCUCGAUCGUUUGGAACUAAGAGCAAAGCUGCAGCAAGGAAAAGAUACAUCGACAAAAGUAGCAGCAUUCUUCUGUAUUUGUGAAGGAAUAUCUUGUAUAGUGCAACAGUUAUUGUUGUAUCACAUGAUGACAUUAGGAGUGGCAAACGUGUAUAUGAUGAUACUUUGAUGACUUUGAUGAGAUUUACAGGUAGAGAAACAGACAACUUCACAGUUAGGAUGUGGCCAUAUCAGACCUAAACUCUGCUGUGUUUGAUGUGUUGAUGGACAAGGUCGCAGGGGACGUGCAUGAUGUCAGUUUGACUUUGGCUCAUACUAUAGCUUAGACAUGCUGUUGUUAAGCUCAGUGAUGUACGUAAAUGCAUAAAGGCGAUAUUAACGUUAGAAAAAGAGAGACACAGUCUUGGUGAAUCACACAUGGAAUCAGACACAGCAGCCGGAAGCAUAAAAAAUGAAAUAGAAUGUGUUUGUUGUCUUUAUGAUGGUGCAGUGCAGUGGGACAUGUAGAGCUAUAUUUAGAUGCCGUCGGAAUAAAAGAAGAAAAUAUCAAAUUUUCUGGAAUAGUCACAAAUAAAAACAAGUGUGAAACCCAUACAUCUACCUGCUGUUAGUUAUCUUUCUGUUCCAGCAAUAUACAGAAAAAAGCUUAGUCUUAGUCAUACUUUGGAAUUUUGAUUCAUUUAGGUUGACAGAUUACUCACGAUUAAUUUGGAUCGCAAUUUAUCACAGCUAUUCUUUAAAUAAGCAGAUUAAAAAUUUGUAUCGUCGUUUCACAUUCCUAAUAUUUACUAUGUAUUCUCCUGUAGUCACUACCUUGGGGGAAAAACAUACUUU